rnacentral:rRNA from 1 species
AGCGAGCGCUGGCGGCAGGCCUAACACAUGCAAGUCGAACGAAGUCUUCGGACUUAGUGGCGGACGGGUGAGUAAAACGUGGGAACGUACCUUUUGGUUCGGAACAACUCAGGGAAACUUGAGCUAAUACCGGAUGAGCCCUCAGGGGGAAAGAUUUAUCGCCGAAAGAGCGGCCCGCGUUAGAUUAGCUAGUUGGUGAGGUAAAGGCUCACCAAGGCUACGAUCUAUAGCUGGUCUGAGAGGAUGAUCAGCCACACUGGGACUGAGACACGGCCCAGACUCCUACGGGAGGCAGCAGUGGGGAAUCUUGCGCAAUGGGCGAAAGCCUGACGCAGCCAUGCCGCGUGAAUGAUGAAGGUCUUAGGAUUGUAAAAUUCUUUUACCAGGGACGAUAAUGACGGUACCUGGAGAAAAAGCCCCGGCUAACUUCGUGCCAGCCGCCGCAGUAAAAC